rnacentral:rRNA from 1 species
GACAGAGGGUGCAAACGUUGCUCGGAAUCACUGGGCGUAAAGGGCGUGUAGGCGGGAAGGAAAGUCAGAUGUGAAAUCCCUGGGCUCAACCCAGGAACUGCAUUUGAAACUCCCUUUCUUGAGUACCGGAGAGGAAGGUGGAAUUCCUGGUGUAGAGGUGAAAUUCGUAGAUAUCAGGAGGAACACCGGUGGCGAAGGCGGCCUUCUGGACGGUAACUGACGCUGGAGACGCGAAAGCCGUGGGGAGCAAACAGG